rnacentral:lncRNA from 1 species
ACGCUCGCAUCACACCCGGGCGCCGAUCGCCACCAUCAGCACCGCCGGCGGCAGCACCCUCCUCCUUUGCAUCAUCGCCGCCGCCGCAGCUGUCAGGAGGACGCGCGGGCAGUCGGCGCGCAGGCGGCGGCGGGCGCGGGGCGAGCCCCGGGGUGCCCCGAGCCGGGGACGGGGCCAGGCGGCGGGCGCAGCGAGGCCGGGGCCAGUCCAGACCGACGGCAGCGACGGAGCGGGCGGCGGCGGCGGCGGCGGCGGCGGCGGCGGCUGGGGCUCGCUCAGUCCCCAGUUUCAUACACCACGAGCAGCAGGUCGGAGCAGCCUCCCCGGGAGGACGUCCAGCAGCAGCCCUCCUCUCUCCAACCCUUGGGGAUCUUCCGCUGAGGCAUUGAAGACAGGAGGAAAGGGUCUCAGGCUGGGAGAAAAGGCAGGUGUGCGCCGAAGGCAAAGGCGGCAGGAAAAGUUUCGCGGUUUACCACCUGGCCUGAUGUGGAGGUCGCCCCCACCAAACUGCUCCUGCACAGACCCGGGCUUCUUGCAGUUUGCCUUCAUCCUCCCCAAGAUAUUUGAAACCCCCAAGGCAAACACAGAUCACCUACCACCUCAACAUGGAGAAACGCGCGCACGCAGGGCGUUAAACUUAGGGGAGAAAAGACAGUUGCUGGGAAACAGCCCCGGAAAAGCUCCGGCUUGUAAAAUGCGAAUAAAUGAAUCCGAAAGCACAGUAAACGCGGGGCUGGCGAUGCUGGGCAGAAGCGCGCGGGGGUUGGGGGGAGGCCCUCUCUGGACUCUGCGGCAGCACUCCUCCCCGCCCGCCUCCGGCCCGCCUUCCCAGGCAGCUGCGGACCUGCCCGUGCCCACCAGCUGCCAACCGGACCUUUGGACCACGCAGAGGCCGUCGAGCCUCGGCGGCGGCCUCUGCGAUCCCGGACCCUAGGGGCACUCAGCCGCAAAACCUCCCCCUCUCGCUGCACAGCCCAGACGCGGGCUCUGUUGGGGAGGAUGGCGGUGAGGAGAUGGGGGUAGGAGGGACUAAAGGAGGUAGAAGCGGAGGGACGCUUUGCUGCUAAAACUAGCGUCACCUCAGAUGGCCGAGGAGAAAGGAAAGGGCCGUGAGA